AGAGUUUGAUCCUGGCUCAGAUUGAACGCUGGCGGCAUGCUUUACACAUGCAAGUCGAACGGCAGCGCGGGGAGCUUGCUCCCUGGCGGCGAGUGGCGCACGGGUGAGUAAUACAUCGGAACGUGUCUUCUAGUGGGGGAUAACUGCCCGAAAGGGCAGCUAAUACCGCAUGAGACCUGAGGGUGAAAGCGGGGGAUCGCAAGACCUCGCGCGACAGGAGCGGCCGAUGUCUGAUUAGCUAGUUGGUGAGAUAAAAGCUUACCAAGGCGACGAUCAGUAGCUGGUCUGAGAGGACGACCAGCCACACUGGGACUGAGACACGGCCCAGACUCCUACGGGAGGCAGCAGUGGGGAAUUUUGGACAAUGGGCGCAAGCCUGAUCCAGCUAUUCCGCGUGUGGGAUGAAGGCCCUCGGGUUGUAAACCACUUUUGUAGAGAACGAAAAGACACCUUUUAAAAAAGGGUGUUGCUGACGGUACUCUAAGAAUAAGCACCGGCUAACUACGUGCCAGCAGCCGCGGUAAUACGUAGGGUGCGAGCGUUAAUCGGAAUUACUGGGCGUAAAGGGUGCGCAGGCGGUUGAGUAAGACAGAUGUGAAAUCCCCGAGCUUAACUCGGGAAUGGCAUAUGUGACUGCUCGGCUAGAGUGUGUCAGAGGGAGGUGGAAUUCCACGUGUAGCAGUGAAAUGCGUAGAUAUGUGGAAGAACACCGAUGGCGAAGGCAGCCCUCUGGGACAUGACUGACGCUCAUGCACGAAAGCGUGGGGAGCAAACAGGAUUAGAUACCCUGGUAGUCCACGCCCUAAACGAUGUCUACUAGUUGUUGGGGACGAUAGUCCUUGGUAACGCAGCUAACGCGUGAAGUAGACCGCCUGGGGAGUACGGUCGCAAGAUUAAAACUCAAAGGAAUUGACGGGGACCCGCACAAGCGGUGGAUGAUGUGGAUUAAUUCGAUGCAACGCGAAAAACCUUACCUACCCUUGACAUGUCAGGAAGCUCUUGUAAUGAGAGCGUGCCCGCAAGGGAGCC
rnacentral:rRNA from 1 species